rnacentral:lncRNA from 1 species
GUAGAACGUAAAAAAGGACGCAAUUGGCUGCCGGAGGGGUCCUCUUUUUUUUUUUAAUUGCAAGAGGGCGGAGAAGCUGUGGGUGCCUCAGACGUCAGAGGAAAACAAGCCAAGACGAAUGGCCAAUACUUUUUGGCCCGAAGGUGUCCUUUAGUUACCGAGAAAGAGUCGUACAAACGUGAGGGGGCAAAAAACAACAACAACAACACACAACCCUUUUUAAGGAACUCAAAAUGAUCCCUCUGGAAAGGUUGUGGAGCUACUGAGAAUCUUGAUUCGGGUGUGCGUAUGUAAGUCGUGCCCACUUCCUCAAAAGCUACAAGAUUUGAAGACCUAGGCAUGUCAAAAAAACACAAAAGGAAAUCCAGUCAAAAGGAUGACACCUUGGAUAAAAAGAAACCAGAAUCAGCAGAAAUUGGGAAUAGACAUGCAAAAGAACAGCUGGAC